UCUUUCAUAUAUUAUUAUAAGCCCUUUUAUUAUUCAUUCUUACAUGCUACUCUUUUCAUUAUGGGAUCAUGUUAUAAUAUAAAGGUCUCUCUGUGUUUCUCUCCUGCACAAGCUCUUAAAACAGCUGCAGGAACUCCAAAAGGGAGUGAGACAUUGCAGUCUCUUCUUGUACCAGGUUACCAAGGAUAUUUCCGCUUAUCUUAAGAAUUACAAGUUCUUGUGACAUGUUAGAUCCUGCCUAACAAGGCAAUAUAUAUAUAUAUAUUUACCUUAUAAGCUCAUUUUAUUAUCUAUGCUAUGGAAACUCGCUCAGAUACUCAAGGCCUUCACACAAAGAUUAAUAGCUGUGUAUCUUCUCCUGCACAAGAGAAGGGAGUGUGCACAUUCCAUCUCCACUCAGUGCCUCUCGGUACCAGUGAAUGUAUCUUCUCCUGUCAUGAAUAUAUCAGGAUGUUCCUGGUAAUCUCAAGGAUGUGUUCUAGUGAUGUAUUAAACUGUCCGCUAACAAGGCUGUUAUUUUCACCUGUCAUGAUCAUUGACGUAUGUACAUGGCAAACUGCGUAUGUAACAUUCCUGUAAUCUUCAAUAAAAAUCAGCCGUUUUCAGUAGAACGGCGAGAGUCUGUCCGAAGCAUCUGGCAAGAGCAGGUCGCGGGACUUGCUGCAGAGACUCUCCCCCUCAUGAGCGGUGAAACAGUGAAUGGACUUCUGAUCAUUUGUCUCCUCGUUCUGACAACUUUAAAGGUGUUUAACUCCAUCUACUCCGUACCCGUGCUUGGUCUAACGGAAGAGAGACCAACAAAUUUGGCGUCACGAACAGGAUUUUUUCUUUUUGAAGAAAAAGGAGUUUUUGGAGGACAAUUUGACCAACCGACCCAGCGAACAGAUCUUGGCACAGAACACCGCGGUGGAAAACAAGGUGAGCAGAGCCUAUUAUCUAAAAUCUGCUCAUUGGAUUUAUCCAAAGCCUUUGUGUCCAGAAUCAUAGUAGCUGAGGUCCUAAAAUAAUAGUUGGAGAAGAAAGUGGAGACAAGUGCGGGAGAAUAAGAGAUUUUUUUUUGUAAUGGUUUAGUGGUGAAAUGAAAUGAGGAUUUUUUGUAAUGGUUUAAUGAGUAAAUGAGAAAAGGAAAUAGUACAGAUGAAGGGAUGGUGACCCAGGGCUGAGGAGCCCUAAAGUUCCAUUUCCAGGUCGUGGCUGACCACACUAUUUGCUGACGAGCGGAUAGAAUAUAUAACAAGGUUAUAUAAAGCUUGGCUGGAUCCAUAGGUGUGGGAACCCUAAAAGUCCACAGGUCAAGGACCUGGUUUUUUGUGUUAAGGGAAGGGGAGGCUAAAAGAGAGCUCCCUGGAUUUUAAGGUCAAGGACCUUUUGCAUGAGAUGAGAAAAAUGUUCUGAGGUAACUGUUUUUGCAUAAGAUGAUAAAUGUUUUGACUGCUUCUGUGUGAAGAGAGCAGUGCUUUUGGCUAUUUCUGCGUGCUUUUGGCUGUUUUUGCAUAAAAUGAGCAAUGUUUAAAUAUGACAAGCAGCCCAGUUGAAGCCACGAGAAAUAAGGUUUUAUUGAGAAAGUCAGCGGAAGAGGCGAUGAAGAAAAAAGGGGUAGAUGUUAACAGUAGAGGUAACUGGAGAAAGAUUUGGGAAGUGAAGGCUGCAGAAUCAAGAGGAAAAAGGCACAGCUGUAGACAAGCUUCACUGUGUGUGUAAGCUGAGUUCAGCCUGUGUGUGUGAGGCGCAGCAAGAGGCUGCUUACGGCUCUGGAUUGAAAGUGCAGCACUAGGAGAGUGCAGAAUGCAGAGCAGAGUUUUGGGAGCUCCAUGUGUGUGCGUGUGAGUGUACAGCGCUGGGUGUGUGUGUGAAGGCCUGAUGCGGUACCAGAAAAUAAAUAAAUAAGAUAAAUAAGAGCUUUAAAAAGUUGCAACUCGUAUAUGUAAAUUACACUGCAGUGCUAAAAUUAAUGUUUGGAGCUACGCAAAAUUCAAAUUCUGCAACCCUGUUCUGAUCAGUCUUUGAACAGAACACCAUAAGUUAAUAAAUAAAAGGUUUUUAAAGUAACAUAUGCAUAUGUAUGUGUGUAUGUAUGUAUAUGUGUAUACAUAUAUAUACAUAUGUAGUGUAGAAGCGUGAUAAUCAUUUGUGUGUGGGGCAGCAUGUGAGUGACCCCGAUCUGGGGGUUAAGUGACCUGGAGAUGAAAAAAGGGAAAAAACCACCAAGAAACGCAAGUAAGGAUGUAAAUGACAGCUUUAUUUUAGAAAUAUAGUCAUAUAGCUGCUAAACAGUAAAAUCAAAACAGAUCUGCAGAAAAUAAAUAUAUAAACUAUUCCUCAGAGCGCUCUCAAAAAAAUUGCAAUUGGAUUUGCUCUAAUGUUACAUAAGGCCUGCUUAAAAGCAUAGUAAGCAUUAAAUUCUGAAAAUAACCAGUGCAGUGUUAAAUAAAUUCUGUGCUUAAAAUAUUAUAUAUAUAUAGAGAGAGAAUAAAUAAGUGACGAACUGACUUACUUUAAAAAAAUAAUAAUAAUAAUAAUAAAAAGAGACUGUGACAAACAAAGAAUGUCUCUGUGCCUUGUGAAUGAGUGAAUGUGUGUCUUCUUGCAUGAGAAGUAAAUGCUGCUUUCGCUGGAUCUUCUGAAUGACUCAGUUUUUAAUAGAGGGAGCAGCUGCUUGAGAAACAGGGUGCGGUCCAUGUUUUUACUAGACGGUUAUUUAGUUCGAGAGACUGUGGAAACAAUAGAAAAAGAAUUUAUCGUUAGUGUGAGGACAAGAAAAUCCUUUAAAAUACAAAAGUUGUAUGGUUGUGGUUAUAAAGGAAGUAUUUUGUCUGAUUAUGGGCCGUGGAGUCAGCUGGACUCCCUCGCUCUCACAGUUUUUCUGUGUAACAUGCAGUUUUAAGCAAUUUGUGACUUUAGAAAGGAUAUUUUUCGGUGUUUUGGACGUACCUUAAGGCUUCUGGUUAGGGUAUUCAGGAGAUCCUUCCUCUCGGACAGAUCUAGUGAGAAUGACUGGAGUUUCAGCCUGGGGACCUGACUCCACCCACUUUUACACACAGGAGUUCCGCAGUCUAAAAAUAGCACAGGGUGCUGCGAAAAGCAGCUCUGAACCUCUCAGGAUCAUCUUUAUGAAAACCAUAAAAUUAACAAAUAAUCAGUCAGGAAAUAAAAUAUUUGUUAAAUCUUGCUAUAAAACAAAAUCCAAUAAUUGUCUUACCUCAACUUUAAGAACCAUUAACGUUAAUGGCUGGAUUUUGAGACGCUGAAUAAUGAAAAAACAGAUAAACUAAGUAUUAUUUCCUGUAACCUGGCUAGAAACUGUACCAGGCUGUUUUGAGUUAAAAACUGGUAGUUAUUUUCCCAAAAUAAAAAUAGAUAAAUAAAAAAUGAAAGGAGGGAUCUUGCAUUUGGGAUAGAUUGUGCCUAAAGUUUAAAACCUGUGUAGAACUGAUUUGACGAUUCAGAAAAAUUGUGCAUAAAGUAGUCUAGAUUUACCUUUGAGUCAAUAAAGUCGACUAAAUAUUAGAAACCAUCGUUGAUUUUGAUUUGUAAAAGAGAAAGUUCUGUCAUUUUAACUCAAUCAACAUAUUUAAGGAAAACGUUUGCUGUGCAUUGUGGCAGGCAUGAACUUUACUGGGUGGGCCUGUCACAACCAGCUGCAAAGAAUGUUUGGCUCUGACUUCUAUACAAAGAGAACCUGGAAGCCCUCACCAAAGAGAACCUGGAAGCCCUCACCAAAAGCUGUGACUUAUAACAUCAAGACGGGGAGCACUACAAGAUGGACAAAGAGGCAGAAACUUAUUUGCCCUGCUGCUGAUGAAACAAAGUACAAAAGGGGGAGCAUGUGUGCUAACAUGUGAACUUUAAUCAAUGACGGUGGUCAUCCUGGACUUACAAAGAGAGGCUCAAAAGAGACUGUUUCCUAUGGUUACACCCAGUAAAAGAGUGCUUGCUGCAGUCAGGUAAUGAACAAGGCUUUUUGGCAACAACCAGUUGAAUUGAUGAAAUGUCAGAACUGUGGAAAAUUUACUAAACUAUUGUAGAACAUAGUUAACUGAGAAAGUUAGCCUAAAAAAAAAAAUAUAUAAUAAUAAUAUCAAUAAAUAAAUAAAUAAUAGGAUUAGUAACCUGGAUUUCAGCCCAACUCACCAUUGGACGUCAAUAUAAUCUUUAUUGUCUUAGGAUUCUCAGCUGCAGCGGACAUACAGUAAAGCCUUAUUUUCUUUUCAAAAAGUCAUUCAUCGGCGUCAUCACUUAUCUUCAUUAGUUAAGGAAACGGUGUCUAUUUAUAAGUCUAGGAGAACGCUUUAGGCUUCAACAGUUCUCUCCUUCGAGCAAACAUGCGCAAAUUUCCGGAUAGUUUAUAGUAACGUUCCAUCCCAUUCCAUUCAUUGCAUAAAAAUAAACAUUAAAUGAAUAAUUUGGCAUCCAGCUGACUAAAUGAUUCAUGGAACAUCUCAUCCGAGACAACAGUGUUGUUUCAGCUCCGUUGAGUUUCCCAACAGAUCUAGCCAAACCUAGCUGAUCCUAUAUUUUUCUAUCAGCUGUAAGUUCUAACGUAGAAAAUAAUGUCACAAAAAUAUUGAAUAAUUGUACCCCUCGUUCGAUAAAAAUUAUGUUCACAUUUUUAUCUUGUGAAAUCUUUAACAUAAUAUUUUUAAUUGGCCUUUUUGACGACAAUUGGCUAAAAAGUCUUUAAGAUUAUCAUCACAGGAUGGCAUGAUAAAUAAGUAAAUAACAUAAAUAAAUAAAUAGACAAAAAUAAGAGAGAAAAAGCAAAAUUAAUUAAAUGAAACGUAAUAGUGAUAAAACGUUAAAUUGAUCUAAAAUCUGUCAUUCAGCGCCACUGGAAAAAGGAAGAGGAUAGGGGAGUAUUUCUUAGCACAAAUCACGUUAUUGAUUUAGCAAUGCAGCUUAAUUUCAGAUGCUUUAAGGAUGAUACUAACUUGUGUUAUAGAUGGAGGAGUAGCACAGAAACACUUCUAGAUGAGGAGAUAAGGAGAAAAACUGCUGAUUACCAAUACUAUGCACAAACAAACCUGUAACUGCAGUUUCGUUAUUUAUGAAUUAACCUUAAGUAGUGAAUUAAUUCUUAGGAUUUCUUGUGCGAGUAGUGUUCCUAAAAAAGAAAGAAAGAAAGAAAGAAAGAAGGUAAGAAAGACAGGUAGUUUAGGUAAGGGACAACCUGAAACUAUUUGGUUGAAUUGAUAGUAAAAGUGGUUGUCCUAAUUUCUAAUUGGAGAGAUCACACCGCAACAUGAGUUUAGAACGGCAGUUAUGGGAAGUUUUGUUGGAUUAAUUUGAUUACACGCUUUAGGUCUUAUUUUUUUUCUUUCCACUGAUUUAGCGUUAGGUUGAGUGUUUUCACACUUUCGCUUCAGUCUGACAUUUGCUUGGUGUGUGAGGGCACAGAGACGUGUAUGGACCGUGUGUUUGACUGUGUUUGUCUUGUUUGUUUGCUUAUUUAUCUAUAUGGGCAUGGCCGAGCCUUGAGAAACAUCAACAAAGACAUUGGACUAUUCUGAGUAAAUUAACCAAUUCAAAUUCAAAUUCAGGAUCCUGAAACAAUUUGGUUAUAACCUCUAAUUGAUGAAGGACAUCUUAAGAAUUCAUUGUACAAGGCAUCAUCUCCAGUGUUGCUGGAACUGUUAUAAAACCCAUGCAUGGUUGUAUAUUUUAGUUUGAUCAUUUAUACUCAUUGAAUUAUUGUUGUUUGCUUUAUGUUUUAAUUUCUUUGUAAUUUUUUCUCUGUGACACAGGUGGAGAUGCUGGUGGCGAAGUGGAUCCCACUCAUUUCUUUCUCCCACACACAUUCUUACUCUCUCCCUCUCUCUGUGUGUGUAUGUGCAUGUGUAUGUGUUUGAUGUUGAAGGUAUCAGAGGCUAGGGUCAGUAAGAGCUAGGACAUUUUUGUGCAUAACCUUUAAUCCCUAGGCGAUCGGUUCGGGGAACUUCUGGUCCGGCCGGAGUGUGAAUCUUCCUACCAACUAUCUGCCAAGAUCAAUUGGACUGCACAAGCCGAGAAAGCCUUCAUUGGACCAAAACUACACACACGAAGAGGCUUCGCCUUCGGUGCCAGGCGUCUGGGUCCUGCUAAAAGUCACCAAAAGGAAGUGGACGGAACCAAGGUGGACCGGGCCAUACAGGAUCACGGAGAGGACAUCACACGCUGUCCGGCUGGACGGGAGGAGCCUAACCUGGAAGAGAAGCAGCCGACAUCUGCCUGACCAGAAGAAGUACCCAAGGACCAGGACGAGAAGCAGCUGACAUCUGACCAACCAGAGAAAGGAUCCAAAAACCAGGAAGAGAAGUAGCUGACUACAGUAGCGUGCCAAGCUACCACCACAUCCUGCAGGACGAGAAUCUUGAUAUCAUCACCCCCUGCAGCUGCCUGGAGCCAGUGGAGGGACCUCAACAGGGGGAAGAAGUAACCACCAUACGAACAUUCUACAAGGGUUAUAUUUAACACCCUCCAUUUAUUUUAUCUGGGUUCUAUUUCACACCCUCAUUUAUUUUACAAGGAUUAUAUUUUACACCCUCCACCUGCUGACCCAAUUAUCCAGAUGCCCUUGUUACUAGCCAAUCCUAACAUCUAUUUGGGAGGGGAACCCUCUGAUGAUAGUGAUGACUCUCAUGAUGAAGAAGAUGUUAGAGUGUGAGAAUAUUGAGUGAUUUAUGUAACAAUCCCUUAAACUGUUUAUUUCUAUGAGUUUUUUGAUUGUGUUGUUUUUAUUUUUUUGAUCAUUGAUGUCCUAGGCAUGCCCACUCUGUGCCAAAAGGCGUUCGCCUCAAAAUGAGGGGACAUGGGGGAAUUUUCCCUAUUUGACGUACAUAAUUAGGGUUUUUCGCCCUCAUACGGUGAGCAUGUGAUCCAUACAUGUUGUAACAUGUUCAGUUGAAAGUAUAAUGCUAGAGAUGUGAGAAGCUGUAAUCUGAUGGAUUGUUUGUAUUUGUAUUUUAAAACUUUUCUUAUUGGAUUCUUUUUGAUGGAAUUUGGUGUUAUUGUUUUGAUUUCUUAUAUCUUUAUUGAACUCUUAAAAGAGUUCAAAAGGGGGAUUGAAAAUAUAUAUCUCUCAUAUAAGCUCUUUCAUAUAUUAUUAUAAGCCCUUUUAUUAUUCAUUCUUACAUGCUACUCUUUUCAUUAUGGGAUCAUGUUAUAAUAUAAAGGUCUCUCUGUGUUUCUCUCCUGCACAAGCUCUUAAAACAGCUGCAGGAACUCCAAAAGGGAGUGAGACAUUGCAGUCUCUUCUUGUACCAGGUUACCAAGGAUAUUUCCGCUUAUCUUAAGAAUUACAAGUUCUUGUGACAUGUUAGAUCCUGCCUAACAAGGCAAUAUAUAUAUAUAUAUUUACCUUAUAAGCUCAUUUUAUUAUCUAUGCUAUGGAAACUCGCUCAGAUACUCAAGGCCUUCACACAAAGAUUAAUAGCUGUGUAUCUUCUCCUGCACAAGAGAAGGGAGUGUGCACAUUCCAUCUCCACUCAGUGCCUCUCGGUACCAGUGAAUGUAUCUUCUCCUGUCAUGAAUAUAUCAGGAUGUUCCUGGUAAUCUCAAGGAUGUGUUCUAGUGAUGUAUUAAACUGUCCGCUAACAAGGCUGUUAUUUUCACCUGUCAUGAUCAUUGACGUAUGUACAUGGCAAACUGCGUAUGUAACAUUCCUGUAAUCUUCAAUAAAAAUCAGCCGUUUUCAGUAGAACGGCGAGAGUCUGUCCGAAGCAUCUGGCAAGAGCAGGUCGCGGGACUUGCUGCAGAGACUCUCCCCCUCAUGAGCGGUGAAACAGUGAA